GAGAUGGCCACUGCUCCCCACUCCCCUCCUCAGGCAGGGACGGCGCCAUCUUCCCCUCAUCCCUGCCCGGCAGGCUGGGCCAGAGCCCCGACGGAGAUGCGCUGCCCAGAUUAGGAACCCAGAAUAGCUCUAGGCACCCCCCUCCCGGACUCUCACAGGGACAGACAGCGGCCGGGAGGUGGGGGUCCCUGUUCCAGCCUGAGGAAGGAGGACCCGGCCCUGCCGAGCCCAGCAAGUGCCAGGUGGAGAUGCCCUCGGCCCCGUGGGGGUAUAGGGGGCACCCUCCCUCCCCCCCUCCCUGUGACUCAGGACCCUGGGUCACAGCCCUGUCCCAUCACAGAGGACUCAUGGCAGUGGGUUCUCUCUUGCUCUUCCGCCUUCUCCCAUGUGAGGACACAGCAAGAAGGCCCUACCAGAUGGCAGCACCUUGAUCCUGGACUUCCUGGCCUCCAGACUGAGAAAUAAACUUCUGUUUACUUAUAAUAA